GGAGAGGUGGCAGAGCGGUUGAUUGCACCGGUCUUGAAAACCGGCAGACCUUUACGGGUCUCGGGGGUUCAAAUCCCUCCCUCUCCGCCA
rnacentral:tRNA from 1 species